rnacentral:lncRNA from 1 species
ACUCACACUUCUCAAAUGAACCGGGAAAGGCGCCUGGGCAUGGUUUGGAUAGCAUAGUGUGAGUGCGCCCAUAGAAAACAAGAUUUGAGGUUGGUCGGCUUGGUAGCAAUGACAAGUCCCAGCCGGCACACGACCGACCUUCAACGUUGAAAUAUGGUUGAAAUAAGGUCAGAUGUGUUUUGAACGUUGAAAUAAUGUUGAUAGAACGUUUAAUGUUGAACGGUUGAAAAACAGCCUGCAUAUGACAAGGCUUCAACGUUGAAAUGUGGUUGAAAAUACGUCAGUUGUUGCUUUAAUGUUGAAACAAUGUUGAAUGAUAAAUGGUUGAAAAAAGUUACAGAAAUCCUUGUACAAAUCAACGUUGACAUUUUUUUUAUCAUGGUCUGUAUGUUGAAUUAACGUCAUGGCUUCACCCAAUAUUCAACAUGUUUGGUUACCAUGGUAUCGGAGGACUCGGCGCACGCGGCCACGCGCAGCGCUUCACUUCACUUAAUUACGAACACCUGACCUGCAGUGCAGCAGAAUUCAGAGACAUGUAACUUACUCCAGAGACGCACUAACUUGCACAGCAUUAAAUGGAAAAGGCUUUGUCCAUGUCCAGUUGAGGGGCAUCAAGAACACGCAGAUAGCCUACCUGUGUCAGCCUGGACAGACUGCAGUUCUGCUACUCCAUGCCAAGGCUUUUGUAUGGAUGUCUUGACUACUACUGUGUUCUCUAAAGGUUUUCUGGAGGCUCCAUUUGAGGGCAUCAAGGACAUACUGAUGGCCUAAACCAGUGUCAGCCUAGACAGACAGGCAUCUAUUGCAGUUCUGCUACACAAGACCAAACUCUCUGCUUUUGUAUGGAUGUCUGACUAGUACGGUGUUCUCUAAAGGUAUAACUGGAGCAAAACAAUAGCAUCCGUUACAGUGAAAUUUGUGUUCAUAAAAGAUAGUGAUAUGUGUAACAGGUCCAGUACAUUUGUCAUAAAGGUUAAAUCACAGUAAGUACUGUAAAAAUAACUUGUUUGCCUUUGCCACAACAGGUCAUGGUGUGUGCUUACUGCUUGUAGUAAACACACGCUGAUCUGAUGAGGGAGAGAUAUACGCAAACACAAUUGUAUUUAAUGUUUUGUUUUGCCUCACUAAAGUGUUGUUGGAGCUUGGUAUGUUCACAGUUGAAAUCACUGAAGUCACAUGGAACGUUUUGACAAUGUGUUUUGUGCCUUAUCUUGACAAUGACCAUCUUGGGACCAUUGCUGUCUGUAGAGGAUGAGGAGCAUUUAAUCUAAAAUAUUUUAGUUUGUGUUCUGAAGAUUAACAGGACUUGUGGGAUGACACAAGUAAUUAAUUACAGAACCUAUAUGAACACUUAAUGUGACAUGUAAUAGUGAAAUAGUGGUCCUACAUUCACAAAUGUGAGCCAUUAUUAUAAGACCCAUGUGAACAUGCAAUUUUUAUGAUACUAAUAAUAAUAAUGGAAUAACAAAUUGCUUUUACUGUUGUGUUUGUGAGAGAGAAUCAAACCAUAUAUUCUACACAUUUUCUUGAUGAUUUACUGAAAUAUUUGUCUAUGUUCCACUGUCACAGGUGCUCAGUUUUGCUGCAGUAAUGCUAAACACAAUAGAUAUACUUUAUACAAAAAAAAAAAAAAUACUACAUAUUUAGCAUGCAGACCUGCAAAGUGAAGGAGUAAUGUCAGGUUAAGAUUAUAGCAUGAGUUUUCACUAUUGUGAAUGUGAAGCCAUUCAUUCACAAUGAAUUGGAAUAGCAAACCUCAUUAUUGAUUUUGUAGGAAACUCACCUGGUGUUUGAGAAAUAAAUAUGUAUUUAACUGCUAGACUGAUAUAGAUGUUUUAGUGUUUUAGUCUUGAUUCUUUGUCCCCAGUGCCAUCUUUUACCUCAAGUGUUUCUCUCAAUCUAUAAAACCUCAAACAGAUGUAAUGUAUUUCACUUGUGAUUCUUAGUUGUGAGUGAUGUUUUUUUUUUUUUUUUUUUUUUUUUUUUUUUACUGCAGCCACUUUAAAAAUGGGUAUUUUGUAAACUGUGUAAACAGAAUUGAAGCGUAGUUUAGUUACUUAGUUUAAUUUAGUUAGUAUCUGUCUUUCUGAAGACGGUAACACUUUACAAUAAGGUUGUAUUAGUAAGUGUUAAUGUAUUUACUAACAUGAACAAAGAGCAAUGAAGCAUCUUUCAUAUAAAGAAAGUACAGUUCAUGUCAGCUCAGUGCAUUAAUGUUAACAAGCAUACAUUUUGAUUUUAAUAGCAUCAGGACAUAUUUCAAUUAAUUAAAUGAUUAAUAAAUGCUGUACAAGUAUUUGUUCUUUGUUCAUGUUAGUAAACAUUAACUUUAAUUCAUGAAACCUAAUUAAAAAGUGACUAUUUAAUUGUAUGCCUUUUUUCUGUAUUUGAGUGUACAGCAUGUAUAGUAACCUGCAUGGUUUUGAUAAACUGUAUGCUGUAAAUGUUGCUGUAUAUUUAGAAUAAUUGAAAUAAUGAGGUGUGAAUUAAAUAAAUUGAUACACAGACUAA